AAAAAAAAAGAAAGAAAGAAAUUCAUUUAUGUUUCAUAUAUACCUUGUACACAUAGACUGAAGAUAAUUUCAUAAAAUAGUAUUAAUAAUUUUGUGCAUGACACAAAGUUGGUGUACACUGAACCAUUUGAAAGCAAAGGUCACUGUCUCAGCCACCCAUGUGGACAAUCUGUGGUUGCUUGGCAUCAUCAUCAUUCCUUUUAUUUAUUUAUUAUUUUUAUUUUUAUCUUUUUUUGAGACAGAGUUAUGCUCUGUUGCCCAGGCUAGAGUGCAAUGGCGUGAUCUCAGCUCACCGCAACCUCCACCUCCUGGAUUCAAGCGAUUCUCUUGCCUUAGCCUCCCAAGUAGCUGGGAUUACAGGCACGUGCCACCAUGCCCAGCUAAUUUUGUAUUUUAGUAGAAAUGAGGUUUCACCAUGUUGACCAGGCUGGUCUCGAGCUCCUGACCUCAGGUGAUCCACCUGCCUCGGCUGGAAUUCCAAAGUGCUGCGUUGUAACCGGGCAAGUUAUAGAGAAACGCCACACUCUUAGACUAAUUAAGGAGUCCUUUAUUAGCCGGCGACUGAGAGAUGGCUAGCGCUCAAAAUUCUCUCAGCCCCGAAGAAGGGGCUAGGUUUCUUUUUAUACCUUGGUUUAGAAGGGGAGGAGGGAGCAGAGCUGAAGCAAUUUUAUGGAAGCAAAACAGGCAAGAAAAUUAAAAAGAUAAAUGGUAAAAGGAAAACAAACAGUUCCAGGUGCAGGGGCUUUAAAUCUAUCACAAGGUG
rnacentral:lncRNA from 1 species